rnacentral:rRNA from 1 species
UACGUAGGGUCCGAGCGUUGUCCGGAAUUACUGGGCGUAAAGAGCUCGUAGGUGGUUUGUCGCGUUGUUCGUGAAAACUCACAGCUCAACUGUGGGCGUGCGGGCGAUACGGGCAGACUUGAGUACUGCAGGGGAGACUGGAAUUCCUGGUGUAGCGGUGAAAUGCGUAGAUAUCAGGAGGAACACCGGUGGCGAAGGCGGGUCUCUGGGCAGUAACUGACGCUGAGGAGCGAAAGCGUGGGGAGCGAACAGG